rnacentral:rRNA from 1 species
UACGUAGGGGGCAAGCGUUAUCCGGAAUUAUUGGGCGUAAAGAGUGCGUAGGUGGUUACCUAAGCGCAAGGUUUAAUCUUGAGGCUCAACCUCAUUCUGCCUUGCGAACUAGGCUACUUGAGUGCAGGAGGGGAAAGCGGAAUUCCUAGUGUAGCGGUGAAAUGCGUAGAUAUUAGGAAGAACACCGGUGGCGAAGGCGGCUUUCUGGACUGUAACUGACACUGAGGCACGAAAGCGUGGGGAGCAAACAGGAUUAGAUACCCGGGUAGUCCCUGAGCGGG